rnacentral:rRNA from 1 species
UACGUAGGGGGGCAAGCGUUGUCCGGAAUCAUUGGGCGUAAAGCGCGUGUAGGCGGCCAGAUAAGUCCGUUCUGAAAGCCCCGGGGCUCAACCCCGGGAGGCGGAUGGAUACUGUUUGGCUCGAGUCCGGAAGAGGCGAGUGGAAUUCCCCGGUGUAGCGGUGAAAUGCGCAGAUAUCGGGAGGAACACCAAUGGCGAAGGCAGCUCGCUGGGACGGUACUGACGCUGAGACGCGAAAGCGUGGGGAGCAAACAGG